GCCACGAUAGUUUAUUUUAAAACACUAGCCUGUGAAGCUAGAAAUGGAAUUCCUUCCCCGCAGCU
rnacentral:tRNA from 1 species